UUACGGCCAUGUUAGGUUGAAACACUGGCUCUUGUACGAUCACCGAAGUUAAGCAACGUUGAGCCUUGUCAGUACGUAGAUGUGUGACAUAAUGGGAAUACCAGUUGCUGUAA